rnacentral:antisense_RNA from 1 species
UCCGUACACAUCUGUAGUUACAUGCGCAUCCACAUCCACAUAACUGAAGCCAGUGUCCUUCACCAUGAGCCAGGCACUCCAACAGUUUCUGCUCUAUUUUAUUUUACAAAAUUGCUGGUGGUGACUCAUGAAACUGAUUUCAAAAUGCACAUUUGAAAAGCAUGGUCCUAGCUGGCACCCCCUGGUGGCAGCCUGGGCCUCGGGUGUGGGUCCAGGUGGGAUCCCCACCAUCCCCAACUCUGGGUUCUGAGCUGGGAUAAAGGCCUCUUGGCGGUGUUGCUGGGGGCCACAGCCCCAGCAGUGCCCUUCCUGCUCUCCCCCACCGGUCACAGAGCAUGAGUCCCGACCACUGCGUCCGCCGGCGCCCCUCAGUGGGUCUUUGUCCCAAGAAGCUGCCAAGCCAGGUGGGGACUGCUCUCACCGCCCGUGUGGCAGGCUGUCGUCUGAAGGACAGAGUCCUCUUCUCUCGUGUCCGUAAGCCUAGCAGGUAGUGGGAGUGAACGGGCAGCCCGGUUGCUGGGCACCCAUCUCCCCAGCCUAGCCGGUGUGUGGAGGAUUGCAGCCCUUUAGCCCAGCCUGACCAGGCAAGCCUGCCGGGGUGAGCAGGAGGGCUUCUGGGGUGAGGGGAGGUGGGGGGGGGAGGGAGGGAGACGACGGGAGGAGGCUCACCUGAACUGAAUGCAGAAGGGGCAGUGCCUUUGCACCAGAAAAAGCCCAUGUGUCCUUCUCACCAUCCCCUGUGCUUACACCCCCAGUCAGCAUGCUCCGGGAGUCCCUGAGCCGGGCCGCCCCAGACGGCCCUCCUUCCCUCCCACCCAGCACCCUGCGACACCUCCCAAACGUGUGUGCCAGCAAGAUGACUCCAGGGUGCCUUUAGGUGGAGCUGUAGUGGUUGGGACGGGCGGCUGUAUAUCAGGGGUGAGUUCCAGGGAGACUUGGGGGCUUAGAAAACUUAGAAAACUUCUCCAAGUGGGGAGAGAAUCCCGCCUGCCCUGCCGGAGGCGGGGCUCAGUGCCCUGAAGUGGAGGCGCCCGUGGGCCACCUCCCUCCCUGCAGCCGCACCCGCUGCGCAGAGGCGCUGGCUCCUUCUCCUCCCGCCUGGAAUAGGUGUCUCCCCAGCCCCCGCUCCCAGGGGCCUCUCUCUCUCUCCCGCCCCGCAGGGUCGAGUCCUGGCAGGGGCUCGGGGAUCGGGUAGUCAGUACCUCUCUGCGUCUCCAGCCGCCGGUAGUUGGGGACCCUGUGGCUGGAGUGCGUUUUCACCAGGAAGGAGCGCGGCAUGUUCCCCUCCCGGGCGGCAAGCCGGAGUGGGCUGGGGCGGGAGGGGCGCGCCUGGGUCCGGACUGCCGCGUCCGCCGGCGCUUGAAGCGGGUCAGGCUCAUUAGCAUAGCGCGCCGCCUCCGCCAACCAGCGCCCGGCGCGAGUGGGGCGUGGCCACGGGGGCGGAGCUGAGGGCGAGGCGGGGUCGCGGGCAACACGCCCAGGACAGGUGCGCGGGCGGGGCGGGGCGGGGCGGGGCGGGGCGGGGCGCGCGUGGCCGCCGGUGUCCUCCCCACGAGACUCCUCUGGCGCGCGCGCCGCCGAGUCACACACCGACCCCUCGGGCCUGGCCACCCACUCGCCGUGAGUGAAAGGACAGAGUUCAAAGCUGAGUGGAAACCGAGCGAGGAUCCACUUCGCAGAAUGUAGAAGCGUCGGUGGAGCGAGGUCUUCGGACAGCUCUUAUUUCGGAGAAUGACAUUGUCUUCACGACUUCACCUUCCCCAUCCCUUCUAUAAACUGACAGGACGGGGUUGAUGGGGAGAGUCUAGGCAAAAGGAAGCUGACCCCAGUGACCAGCCCUAGUGGCCGCCCAGAGUCAAUGCUCUGGAACAGGACCGGGACCGGUGACCUGGAGACAGUGGCCGUUUCUGGAUGGGCUGCAGUCUCUGAAGGCUUCCUCCACUGGAUAGCCCCUUAGGAGUUUGCCCAGUGCCUCCAGAAAGCUCUUUUUUGGGGGACAGCGGACUCGGCCUGGAAUUCUGGAAUUCCCAGGGGGUCGGACAUGGUUAUGAGAAGUUUAAUAAAACCGGCGAAUCA